rnacentral:rRNA from 1 species
UGAGCAACCUGCCCUCAGCUCUGGGAUAACUCCAAGAAAUUGGGGCUAAUACCGGAUAUGACUGCUGACCGCAUGGUCUGGUGGUGGAAAGAUUUAUCGGCGUGGGGGAGUGGGGCCGGCGGCCUAUCAGCUUUGUUGGUGAGGUAAUGGCUCACCAAGGCGACGAUCCGUAGCUGGUCUGAGAGGAUCGACCCGGCCACACGUGGGACUGAGACACCGGCCCAGACCUCCG